rnacentral:rRNA from 1 species
GACGAACGCUGGCGGCGUGCUUAACACAUGCAAGUCGAACGGAAAGGCCCUGCUUGCAGGGUACUCGAGUGGCGAACGGGUGAGUAACACGUGGGUGAUCUGCCCUGCACUUCGGGAUAAGCCUGGGAAACUGGGUCUAAUACCGGAUAGGAGCCAUUUUUAGUGUGAUGGUUGGAAAGUUUUUUUCGGUGUAGGAUGAGCUCGCGGCCUAUCAGCUUGUUGGUGGGGUAAUGGCCUACCAAGGCGGCGGCGGGUAGCCGGCCUGAGAGGGUGGACGGCCACAUUGGGACUGAGAUACGGCCCAGACUCCUACGGGAGGCAGCAGUGGGGAAUAUUGCACAAUGGGCGCAAGCCUGAUGCAGCGACGCCGCGUGGGGGAUGACGGCCUUCGGGUUGUAAACUCCUUUCGCUAGGGACGAAGCUUUUUGUGACGGUACCUAGAUAAGAAGCACCGGCUAACUACGUG